rnacentral:misc_RNA from 1 species
GAUGAAGAACGUAGCGAAAUGCGAUAAGUAAUGUGAAUUGCAGAAUUCAGUGAAUCAUCGAAUCUUUGAACGCACAUUGCGCCCGCCAGUAUUCUGGCGGGCAUGCCUGUUCGAGCGUCAUUACAACCCUCAGGCCCCCGGGCCUGGCGUUGGGGAUCGGCGGAAGCCCCCUGCGGGCACAACGCCGUCCCCCAAAUACAGUGGCGGUCCCGCCGCAGCUUCCAUUGCGUAGUAGCUAACACCUCGCAACUGGAGAGCGGCGCGGCCACGCCGUAAAACACCCAACUUCUGAAUGUUGACCUCGAAUCAGGUAGGAAUACGCGCUGAACUUAAGCAUAUCAAUAAGCGGAGGA